rnacentral:lncRNA from 1 species
GUGUGUGCCCAGCAAUGCUGGAGGCACAAGAGCAGCCAGAGCAGCCAUCAGGACAACACUCAGCGUUUUCCUUCUGCUGUUUGGGGGUAUGGAAGGCUGCAGAGAGCCCUUUACAAACCUGGAAAACAUGGGAACAUAGGAUGGCAUGUGGCAAGGUCACAGGACCACAGGAUCACGAGGUUGGAAGAGACCUUCAGGAUCAUUGAGUCCAGACCAAGCCUCUCAGUCACCUCUGCCUAUCAACACCUCAAUGCAGGAAGACCCUACAUACUUCACUUCAAGCAGAUGUCUACAUUCACUGGUGUCUAUUGAAGAAUUUUUCUUCUGUGAAUACAACCGGGCAUUAUUUAAAAAAAAAUUAAUUGCACUGAAGGCACCCUGUUUUGCAGUCUGUGUAGCUGUGUGAGAGCCUGGAAGUUUUUCCCUGCAGGCAGAGCACCAG